UUAUUAACAAUAGUUUACUUUUACAACUAUCAAAAUCUUGUUAACCAUUUAAAGGAGAACAAAGUUCAUUUUUUCGAUUUCCCGAAUUUUGACUUCCGGUUAUAAAAUGCCAAAUAACUCCUUAUUUGUUGAUCUGCCAGAAAAAAGAUUCACAUUUUCGUGAUCCUCGUCAAAUUUGGGGUCGAUUCCAUUUAUUAACUCAAAAUACCCUAAAAUCGUCAAAAAUCGCAAAUUUCCCUGAACUAGUUCAUGAAAAAUCGCGAUUUUUGUCAAAUCCGACUUUUGGCUGAAAACAAGUCAUUCCCAACCAAAAUUUAAUAAGGAUCACGAAAAUCCUACUCGUUCUGUUAUGGGAUCACUAUUUCCGGAAAUAUUGGCUACUUCCAGUCACUUCCGGAAAAUUUUCGUGACAAUCAGCAAAAAGCUGAUCCUACGAGCUACGACAGUUUUACCUACCAAUGUUUAGCGUUUCGUGCUGCAGCUAGUAGUUGAUAUUCUAGGAUGUUAUGCCUAAAAUUGGAAUUCAGCUAUCAGAGAUUAGCAAAAUUGAAGCGGAAUCUCUAGAUGGCGUUUAUGUACGUCUAUGAUGAAGAUUAUGAGUGACAAGUUAAUUGGGUGUUUGUUACGUUAUCCUGUUUUGUGUUUCAAAGGAUUUUUCGUCAAAAAAUUUACGAUUGCUUUUUGUAUAUGGUGGUGUUUCACCUUGUCAGCUAUGCCAGCUGCGAACCAGCAGCCUGCAUUCCUGCUAUCAAUGUACCACAAGAGAUCCUGACACUUUAAUAAGGCCACUAUUGCUUACAUGAAGAUCACCAUCCAGUUCAAUCAACGACAGAGUCUUCAUCUACUUUGUGUUGCUAACCAUCAGCCCUCAACAUCCCACGUAUCCAGAUUUCCAAGUUUCUCUGAUUAGCUAAUCAUCAUCCAUACCCUUGAGCUCUUCAGCGUGGCUUCUCUUCCUCUCUUCCUAGUCUGCUGAAUACCAAGAUUGAAUAAGGUUCCUCGUCAUUGCCUUUCCAUGGUAUUUUAAUUUGGUGGAUUAUCUGGAUUUCUAAUUUUUACCAACUCACAUGGAUGGGAUGUAACUAAGAAAAAAUUCUGUGAUAGGACUGCAAAUAUUCAUCUUCCUUCGGUACAACACUGCCGUUUUGACAAUUUCUGUAGUUUCGCCCCCAGUGAACCACACGCAACUACAUUUUCUUAAUCUUCCUUUCGUUGUUGUCUACGACUUCACCUCAUCGCUGUCUUCGUUGACGUCUUCGCCUUCAUCUCCGUCUCGUCGUCUUGGCCGUCUUCGCCUUUGUUUCAUCGCCGUCUUUUUCUACGCCAACACUUUGUCGCCGGCUUCUCCUUCGCCCUUCACGUAGGAAAUUCACCGUGGAUCGUCGUCCUGGUAUUGUUUUAUUUUGCAUUGUUGUGUAACUUGUGUUUAAGUUAACCCGUUGGCUGCCACCCCGUUUGCGUCCCAUUUUUUUUGUAGCUUGUAGGGACCGGCCGCAAUGGCCUACGCCGCAAGGCG